UGGGGAAUAUUGGACAAUGGGCGCAAGCCUGAUCCAGCCAUGCCGCGUGAGUGAUGAAGGCCCUAGGGUUGUAAAGCUCUUUCACCGGUGAAGAUAAUGACGGUAACCGGAGAAGAAGCCCCGGCUAACUUCGUGCCAGCAGCCGCGGUAAUACGAAGGGGGCUAGCGUUGUUCGGAGUUACUGGGCGUAAAGCGCACGUAGGCGGACUUUUAAGUCAGGGGUGAAAUCCCGGGGCUCAACCCCGGAACUGCCUUUGAUACUGGAAGUCUUGAGUAUGGUAGAGGUGAGUUGAAUUCCGGGUGUAGAGGUGAAAUUCGUAGAUAUUCGGAGGAACACCAGUGGCGAAGGCGGCUCACUGGACCAUUACUGACGCUGAGGUGCGAAAGCGUGGGGAGCAAACAGG
rnacentral:rRNA from 1 species